CGACGUGGAUAACCUGCCUCACACAGGGGGAUAACAGUUAGAAAUGACUGCUAAUACCGCAUAAGCGCACGGCAUCGCAUGAUGCAGUGUGAAAAACUCCGGUGGUGUGAGAUGGAUCCGCGUCUGAUUAGGUAGUUGGUGGGGUAACGGCCUACCAAGCCGACGAUCAGUAGCCGACCUGAGAGGGUGACCGGCCACAUUGGGACUGAGACACGGCCCAA
rnacentral:rRNA from 1 species